rnacentral:rRNA from 1 species
UUUGAUAAUAAUAGCAAUAUGGACAAACGCUUUACCAUUCCGAACAAGAUAGUUAAACAUAUUAGUGCCGAUGAUAGCUUAAUAAGCAAAAGUAGGGAAUUAUCA